rnacentral:rRNA from 1 species
GAUGAACGCUGGCGGCGUGCUUAACACACUGCAAGUCGAACGCUGAAGCCCAGCUUGCUGGGUGGAUGAGUGGCGAACGGGUGAGUAACACGUGAGUAACCUGCCCCUGACUCUGGGAUAAGCCCGGGAAACUGGGUCUAAUACUGGAUAUGACUGCUGGCCGCAUGGUCUGGUGGUGGAAAGAUUUUUUGGUUGGGGAUGGACUCGCGGCCUAUCAGCUUGUUGGUGAGGUAGUGGCUCACCAAGGCGACGACGGGUAGCCGGCCUGAGAGGGUGACCGGCCACACUGGGACUGAGACACGGCCCAGACUCCUACGGGAGGCAGCAGUGGGGAAUAUUGCACAAUGGGCGCAAGCCUGAUGCAGCGACGCCGCGUGAGGGAUGACGGCCUUCGGGUUGUAAACCUCUUUCAGUAGGGAAGAAGCGAAAGUGACGGUACCUGCAGAAGAAGCGCCGGCUAACUACGUGCCAGCAGCCGCGGUAAUACGUAGGGCGCAAGCGUUAUCCGGAUUUAUUAGGCGUAAAGAGCUCGUAGGCGGUUUGUCGCGUCUGCCGUGAAAGUCCGGGGCUUAACUCCGGAUCUGCGGUGGGUACGGGCAGACUAGAGUGCAGUAGGGGAGACUGGAAUUCCUGGUGUAGCGGUGAAAUGCGCAGAUAUCAGGAGGAACACCGAUGGCGAAGGCAGGUCUCUGGGCUGUAACUGACGCUGAGGAGCGAAAGCAUGGGGAGCGAACAGGAUUAGAUACCCUGGUAGUCCAUGCCGUAAACGUUGGGCACUAGGUGUGGGGGACAUUCCACGUUUUCCGCGCCGUAGCUAACGCAUUAAGUGCCCCGCCUGGGGAGUACGGCCGCAAGGCUAAAACUCAAAGGAAUUGACGGGGGCCCGCACAAGCGGCGGAGCAUGCGGAUUAAUUCGAUGCAACGCGAAGAACCUUACCAAGGCUUGACAUGGACUGGACAGGGUCAGAGAUGACUCCUCCCUUCGGGGCUGGUUCACAGGUGGUGCAUGGUUGUCGUCAGCUCGUGUCGUGAGAUGUUGGGUUAAGUCCCGCAACGAGCGCAACCCUCGUUCCAUGUUGCCAGCGGGUUAUGCCGGGGACUCAUGGAAGACUGCCGGGGUCAACUCGGAGGAAGGUGAGGACGACGUCAAAUCAUCAUGCCCCUUAUGUCUUGGGCUUCACGCAUGCUACAAUGGCCGGUACAAAGGGUUGCGAUACUGUGAGGUGGAGCUAAUCCCAAAAAGCCGGUCUCAGUUCGGAUUGGGGUCUGCAACUCGACCCCAUGAAGUCGGAGUCGCUAGUAAUCGCAGAUCAGCAACGCUGCGGUGAAUACGUUCCCGGGCCUUGUACACACCGC